rnacentral:rRNA from 1 species
UGGGGAAUAUUGGACAAUGGGCGAAAGCCUGAUCCAGCCAUGCCGCGUGUGUGAAGAAGGUCUUCGGAUUGUAAAGCACUUUAAGUUGGGAGGAAGGGCAGUAAGCGAAUACCUUGCUGUUUUGACGUUACCGACAGAAUAAGCACCGGCUAACUCUGUGCCAGCAGCCGCGGUAAUACAGAGGGUGCAAGCGUUAAUCGGAAUUACUGGGCGUAAAGCGCGCGUAGGUGGUUCGUUAAGUUGAAUGUGAAAGCCCCGGGCUCAACCUGGGAACUGCAUCCUAAACUGGGGAGCUAGAGGAGGGCAGAGGGUGGUGGAAUUUCCUGUGUAGCGGUGAAAUGCGUAGAUAUAGGAAGGAACACCAGUGGCGAAGGCGACCACCUGGGCUCAUACUGACACUGAGGUGCGAAAGCGUGGGGAGCAAACAGG